GGGCUCGUAGUCGAGUGGUAAGACGUCAGUCUCACACACUGAAGAUCCCCGGUUCGAUCCCGGGCGGGCCCA
rnacentral:tRNA from 1 species